GGGGGCGUGGCGGAAUUGGCAUACGCAGGAGACUUAAAAUCUCUCGCCUUCGGGAUUGUGGGUUCGAGUCCCACCGCCCCUACCA
rnacentral:tRNA from 2 species